AAAUUCAAAUGUGGUGAUCUAGAAGGUCUGUGACCUAGGGAAGUGACUUUCAUUACACAGAGAAAGGGUGUCUAAAGUUUGUCCAAGUGACAGAACUUACAUCAUAAUUUGUUACAGUGGAGACCUGCAUUCGCACGGUCCCUUC
rnacentral:snRNA from 1 species